GACGAACGCUGGCGGCGUGCUUAACACAUGCAAGUCGAACGGAAAGGCCCUGCUUUUGUGGGGUGCUCGAGUGGCGAACGGGUGAGUAACACGUGAGUAACCUGCCCUUGACUUUGGGAUAACUUCAGGAAACUGGGGCUAAUACCGGAUAGGAGCUCCUGCUGCAUGGUGGGGGUUGGAAAGUUUCGGCGGUUGGGGAUGGACUCGCGGCUUAUCAGCUUGUUGGUGGGGUAGUGGCUUACCAAGGCUUUGACGGGUAGCCGGCCUGAGAGGGUGACCGGCCACAUUGGGACUGAGGUACGGCCCAGACGCCUACGGGAGGCAGCAGUGGGGAAUAUUGCACAAUGGGCGGAAGCCGGAUGCAGCAACGCCGCGUGCGGGAUGACGGCCGUCGGGUUGUAAACCGCUUUCGCCUGUGACGAAGCGUGAGUGACGGUAAUGGGUAAAGAAGCACCGGCUAACUACGU
rnacentral:rRNA from 1 species